rnacentral:lncRNA from 1 species
CCCAGGCUGCCCUAACCCCCUCUGUUUCUUCUUCUUCCCCAGCAACACCACGCCUCUAUCUUCUUCUUCUUCCCCAACUCAGCAGUCAGCAACACCACGAAGAUGCUGAUGCUCUGAUGCACUGAUGCAGCCCUCUGUCUUCUUCCCCAAACCACGAAGACGCAGCCUCUCGUGGCACGAUCUGCUACCUUCCACCAAGCACCGCACCAAAGAUGAGGAUUAUAGAC